ensembl:lncRNA
AGCCUAUAUAUAAUAUAAAUUAUAUUAAUAUAAAUAUGUACACGUAAAUACAUUUAAAUAUUUUGAAAAAAUAUAUGUCAGGAUUGGACUGUCUUUGUUGUGUUUUUCCCUCACGUGCCCUUAUUUGGUCGUUCCUGUUCCUGUCCUCGUUGUCUCUUAAUUAGCAAUUCUGUUCACCUGUGCUCCUCCCAAAGUCAUGUAUUUAGUUUCAGUCUGUGUGGACUCCUUCGUUCUUUCCAGUAGCGUAUUGUGACAAUAUACCGUAUGUGUGUAUAUUUAUAUAUAAAUAAUAAAUAUACACAGUACACACACAUAUAUUAUGUAAACAAAAACUUUUAUUUUAGAUGCGAUUAAUCGCGAUUAAUCAUUUGACAGCACUAACAUACAGUAUAUAUAUAUAUAUAUACAGUGGGUAAAAUAAUUAUUGAACACGUCGCCAUUUUUUUCAGUAAAUGUAUUUCUAUAGAUGCUGUUAACAUGACAUUUUCACCAGAUGUUGAUAACAACACAAGUAAUACAUUAAUACAAAUAAAAGUUCUGUGGGCCUUUUCUAUGAACUCUGAUCUUUAGUUCUUAUUUUCUAUUUGUCACGAUCUGAGGGGUAUUGCACAAAAGUAGAAUUAAGAAAGCCAGGAUAACAGAAAAGGCGCGUCUUGACCUAGUUCAAUCAGCACAUUCUGGCUUAGUCUGUUGCACAUUUGCUAAGCCAGGAUGAGAGUGUGCAGCUAUGUCAAGCCAAGUGUAGAUAGUUGAGAUAAGUGCACGUUCACGGCAUUCUGAAACAGACCACGGGAUCGAUCACAGAAUCAAUGAUGCAAAAAUGGAUAAAACCUGUGCGGCAUACUUCUCGCCAACUGAGCAACAGCUUCUAAUGGAAACAUAUGAAGAGCUGAAACAUAUAAUAUGUAAAAAGGGAAAUACAGCUUCUUUAAUAUAACAAAGACAAAGUUUUAUUUCAGAUUAUAGAUUAGAUAAAAUCAAUUAGAUAGAAAAAAACCUAAAUAAAAAUAGAUAAAAGAGAUAGAUGCAAUAGAUUAAAUAGACAGAUAAAAAUGAGCAAAAUAGAUCAAAUACUGUAGAUGCGCAUAGUGUAUAAGUGUUUGCAAUUAAUCAUACAUGUGCUUGCAUAAGUAACAUGCAUGUCCACUGGUCACAUUUAAGGCAAAGUGUCCAACUGUUAAUUCUGGAUGUCUCCAAAGAAGAACUGCAGGAGUACAUCCGCACUCAGUACAGUGACCCAGCAAGGAACAAUCCGCUAGAUUUGCCAGGGUAUGUUCCCAGACCCUCAGAACCAUCAGCCCUGUUUGACAUAUCUCCACCAAAGUUUAGCGAGAUCAGGCAGGUGAUCCGGCGGGCAAGAUCUGCUUCAGCACCAGGCCCGAAUGGAAUACCGUACAAGCUGUAUAAGAGCUGCCCAGCAGUGCUGAAGCUGUUAUGGUCCCUGAUGAGAAUCACCUGGACUAAGCAGACUAUACCAUCUGAGUGGCAGAGGGCAGUGGCAGUCUCUAUUCCCAAACAACAGAAUGCUAAGACCAUCGAGCAGCAUACGGAGAACAACUACAUCGAUACCUUCAGAUACCACCUGUCAGAAAGCCGGGAUCCCAGGCUUUCCUGGCUGUGUAGAGCAUGCUUCCAUGAUUUGGGAACAGAUCCAAACCACCAAGAGGAAGAAGAAAGAUCUGCACGUUAUAUGGCUAGACCUAGCCAAUGCCUAUGGGUCAGUGCCACACCUGCUCAUAGCCUAUGCUUUGGAAUUCUUCUACAUUCCAGACAACAUCAGGACCAUGAUCAUGAACUACUACCAGGACAUGCACAUGUGUUUUGCACUGAAGAAAGUCACCACUGGUUGGCAAAAACUGGAAGUAGGGAUCGCAAUGGGAUGCUCCAUUUCUCCCAUCCUCUUUGUGGCAGCAUUUGAGGUCAUCCUGAUCGGAGCAAGGCAGGUGGUGGGUGGAGUCCGGCUGCCUGCAGGUCAGAGGCUCCCACCCUUAAGGAGCUAUAUGGAUGACAUUACCUGCCUGCUACGAACCGCCCCAUGUACAACCAGGUUACUCAGGAGGUUGGAUGAGCUGAUCACCUGGGCCAGAAUGAAGUUCAAGCAACAGAAGUCAAGGAGCCUCUCAUUGCGAAAGGGGGAAAGAAACGACAGAGUCACCUUCACCAUCAGCAUCGUGGAUCAGCCCAUCUGAAGCCUGGGAAGACUUUAUACAUCAGGUCUCUCAGACAAGGAUAUGGGGAAAUUCAUCCUUCAGCAGUUGUCAGAAGGCCUGUCCAAGAUUGACGCAAGCCAGCUACCUGGAAAGUACAAGGUGUGGUGUUAUCACUUCACUUUGUACCCAAGGGUGAUGUGACCUCUGAAGCUGUGCGAAGUCACCUCAACAGCAGUAAGCCGGAUGGAGGCAAAAGCUAACUUUUUCAUUCGCAAAUGGCUUGGCCUACCACGGUGCUUCUCAGCUGCUGGUUUGUAUGGAUGGAAUUCCCUCCAGCUACCCCUGAAAUCCAUCAAAUUGGGCUAUAGGCAGGAGAAGGCAAGGCUGGUGAUGGAAUUAAGUGAUUCCUCUGACAGGGCAGUGGCUGAUGCAAAUGCCAGAGUUGAGACUGGAGGGAAAUGGAGGGAAGGAAGAGGUGCAGAGAGUGAUAGGAAGGCUGCAACACCAACAAAUUGUGGGAACGGUCCAGACAGGGAGGACAGGCCUUGGAUGGAGGGAGCCACCCAUCCUAUGGUCCAAGGCAAGUAGGAAGGAGAGGAAGGACCUAGUUGUUGCAGAGGUCACCACGAUUGAGCAGGAGGAGCUCAGAGUAAGGUCUGUGGCACAGGGGCAGCAGGGGUGGUGGACAACUUGGGUGGGUGUUACAAGCCGAGCAAUCAGCUGGGCAGAGUUCUGGAAACUGCCACAAGCCCGGCUCAGUUUCCUCAUUAGGGCAACAUAAAACACCCUACCGAGCCCAAAAACCCUCCACCAAUGGCUUGGUACAGAGCAAUCCUGUGACCUCUGCGGGACCAUCAAUGCCUCACUCCAGCAUGUUCUGUCCGGCUGUAAAACAGCACUAACACAGGGUCGGCUCAGAUGGCGGCAUGACCAAGUGCUUAGGAAGCUGGCAGAGGUGCUGGAGAAAAGUCGGCAGGAGGCAAAUAAUCAGAGUCCAUUAGAGAGUUGAUGUAGGAUCCACUUACUCAGGGAGGGGGAACCCGCAAUGCAUACCAGCAAGAGACCACCUGCCAAGUUAUUAACACCAGGGGCAGUGUGGAAGAUGGAAGUAGACCUGGGAAGGCAGCUCCAGUUCCCACAGGAAAUAUGCAGCACCACAUUAAGACCAGAUGUGGUGCUCUGGUCUGCAGCUGUGAAGUCAGUGAUAGUGAUCAAGCUGACAGUGCCAUGGGAGGAAGGACUCGAAGCUGCUUACGAGAGAAAGAAAGCGAAGUAUGCAGACUUGGUUGCAUAGUGCAGAGAAAGUGGAUGGAGAGUGAGGCUGUACCCGGUGGAGGUGGGAGCCAGAGGCUUUAUGGGCAGAUCAAUAUCAUGCCUGCUCAAGGACCUGGGAUUACGGGGAACCACACUGAGCAGAUCCACCAAAGAGCUCUCUGAGGAAGCGGAGAAAGCAAGCCAUUGGCUCUGGCUGAAACGAUGUGAUAAGGCUUGGGGAGUAACAUCUAAUUAGGUUUUGCUGCAGGGAGUGUCAGGGAGACGUCCCUGUUCACUGCCCCACCACCAGGAGAUGUUCUGGGUUAAGGGGCGAAACGUCAAUGAGCGGUGGUCCCCAGCUGAAGACCCUGCAGCAAAACCACAUGGUAUGCAGUCAGGUUUAGGCCUGCCUCAGGGAAAAGGACGCCCCUGCCAUGCAUAGUCCACCAUAGGCACCGUAGGAGGUGCGACAGGCCUCAAGGUCCAGCAGAAAGACCACCUCACUGUAAUGAAUGAGGGAAAUGACAAAUAACUCCUUGAAUUGUAAUUAUGAUGGCUUCAGUGGAGUACUGGUUAUUUGGACUACUUAUGCAUUCAGUUGGUCCGCUAUUGUCUGCCAGGCUUACCCACUUAUCCACUAUGCGUAUCUACAGUAUUUGAUCUAUUUUGUACAUUUUAUCUGUCUAUUUAAUCUAUCUCAUGUCUCUUUUAUCUAUUUAUAUCUGGCGCGGGGGGUGGCCCUCCAACCCAAGACUUGACCACAGCAGAGGAGCUGGCCCUGGAGUUGAAAGGGAAGCCAGUGAUGGAAGGGACACAGUGAGGGACAGCCACUGACUCUGGCCCAGCAAGAAAGACUGGCCUCUUCAUACAAGAAAGCAACUCAUACAGGUUUGGAUAGAACUUCAAAAGAAGAAUCAGAUGAUCCAGAACAUAUAAAGUUCCUCUGAGUUCUCAGUCUCAGCCCUGGCUUCCUCAUCCGCCAUGGUGGUCUUCUGCUCCAUUGUGGGGAUCUUCGGACCCAUCUGCUCUGCUAUUGUGGCCAUCUGCUCCACCCUGGUGGUCCUCAGUUCUGCCGGCUCCACCCUGAUGCUCUGCUCUGGUACUCUUCAGCUCCGCCCUGAUUCCCUGUUCCGCCGGCUCUGCCUCGGGAAUCAGGUUCUCUUCCUGCACAUGAACCUGGUCCUCCAUCCCUCCCCCGUUCCGCCUCCGCUCCCCUUUCUUUCUGGAUUAUACUGUUGGGAGCGUCUGGAAGCCACUCCUUUGGGGAGGGCUCUGUCACGAUCCGUUCCCUGCUCACAACCAGAGGUUGCCACUCAGACAUUCACCCUGGACUCCAUUUCCCAAGAUCCCCUCUGAUUACUCACUCGCCUGUUUCCAAUAACCCGGACACCAUAAAAGUUGCACUCGCUCACAUACAGGGCCUGAGUAUUGAUUAGCCUAGCUGCCAUACCAAGUGUUUGUAUUCUGUUUCCUAGUCUUGUUGUUCUGACCCUAGCCUGUUUCUCACCUUUGAUCACUUGCUGCUUGCCUUUUUUGACUAUUGCCUGUAUUGGAUUAUUCUCUUGCCUUGCCCUAUGGACACUGGUUGCUGGUGUAUGACCUUUGCCUGUCUGACUAUGCUCUUUGUUUGAAUAAAAGCUGCAAUUGGAUCUGACCUUGCCUAAACGACCCUGAUCAUUACACUAUUGAAUUCAAGUCAGGUGAUUGGCUGGGCCACUCUAGCAGCUUUAUUUUCUUUUUCUGAAACCAAUCGCAAGUUUCCUUGGCUGUGUUUGGGACCAGUGUCUUGCUGAAAUGUCUACCCUAGUUUCAUCUUCAUCCUGGUACUGUAGGGGUUGGGACUGAACCAGCUAAUAUUAAUUUCCACUGACAAGAGGCAGUAU